rnacentral:rRNA from 1 species
UACGAAGGGUGCAAACGUUGCUCGGAAUUAUUGGGCGUAAAGCGCACGUAGGCGGCAUUGCAAGUCGGAUGUGAAAUCCCUCGGCUUAACCAAGGGAGUGCAUCCGAAACUGCAGUGCUUGAGUACUUAAGAGGAUCGCGGAAUUCCCGGUGUAGAGGUGAAAUUCGUAGAUAUCGGGAGGAACACCAGUGGCGAAGGCGGCGAUCUGGGAAGAUACUGACGCUGAGGUGCGAAAGCGUGGGGAGCAAACAGG